GUCAUUUUCAAAUUCAAUAUGUUGAAAAGGUGCACUUUUUAAAUCUUUUAAAUAAUUUUGCUCAUUAAAAGUCUUAAAAUUUCUAUAAGUGAUUGUUGAAUGAGAAUGUUUUUUAUCAUACAAUUUCUCUUGUCUUGUCAUACAUAUUGGAUAGUGAUCACUAAUAGAAUAUUUAGAAACAUGAGCCUCUUUAACCAUGCUUAAACUAGUGACAUAUAUAUGGUCAAUCAAAGUUUUUGAUUCAUUUGUUACUCUAGUUGGUUCCUUAAUUACCUGUUGAAAGUUAUAAGUUUCUAGAGCAGUUAACCAUCUUUGUGGAAUUUUAUUGGGUUGUAAACAAUUUAUGUUAAAAUCUCCCAUAAGAAUUACGUCUGAAUUAUAUUUCAUUGCAACCUUAAUCUCAUCCUCAAAUUUAUCUAUCCAACCAAUUAGUGACUUGGGUGGCCUAUAAACAAAGCACAAUAAAAAGGAUUUCUUAUAGCUAGGUUUAACUUCAAACCAAAUAGUUUCAAUGAUACUUAUUUCAAAAUCAUUUUUCUCAGAAAAAGAGGUGGUUUCUGUUAAAUAGACAGCCCAAGCACCCCCACCAUCGGAUAGUCUAUCUUUCCUUUGUAAAAUAUAUCCAGGAAUAUCUAUUUCUCUAUCAGAAGUAUUUUUACCCAAAAAAAGUUUCACAAUAACCAAUUAUAUCUGGGGGAUUUGGAGUGGACAUAAGAUUGUAUUUAAUCUCAUCAAACUUGCAUUCCAAUCUAUAUUAACAUUGUGGGAACAUAUUUUAAGACCUUUGCAUUUGUUAAAUCCAUAUGUUACAAGAUCAUCAUUUUCUGUAUCCUUAUCAAUAAGAUAAGUAUUGUCAAUAUAACAUAAACAUGAUACACA
rnacentral:lncRNA from 1 species